rnacentral:rRNA from 1 species
GACGAACGCUGGCGGCGUGCUUAACACAUGCAAGUCGAACGGAAAGGCCCUGCUUUUGUGGGGUUCUCGAGUGGCGAACGGGUGAGUAACACGUGAGUAACCUGCCCUUGACUUUGGGAUAACUUCAGGAAACUGGGGCUAAUACCGGAUAGGAGCUCCUGCUGCAUGGUGGGGGUUGGAACGUUUCGGCGGUUGGGGAUGGACUCGCGGCUUAUCAGCUUGUUGGUGGGGUAGUGGCUUACCAAGGCUUUGACGGGUAGCCGGCCUGAGAGGGUGAACGGCGACAUUGGGACUGAGAGACGGCACAGACUCCUACGGGAGGCAGCAGUGGGGAAUAUUGCACAAUGGGCGGAAGCGUGAUGCAGCAACGCCGCGUGCGGGAUGACGGCCUUCGGGUUGUAAACCGCUUUCGCCUGUGACGAAGCGUGAGUGACGGUAAUGGGUAAAGAAGCACCGGCUAACUACGUG